GUCUCCCUCUCCAGAGAUAUUCAAGACGAGUCUGGACACCUACCUAUGUGACCUAUUGAGUCAGGAUUUUGCCAGCAGUAUUUGUUAUCCAUGCAGUAUCAUCCUCUGGGCUUCUGUCAACACAUCUGGAGUGAUCAGGAUGGUUUGGAGGCAGCAUGUUUGCCACCAGAGUGCUGUAACUAUAGACUGAGACAAUCAGCUGUUCAUAUUGGCAUUAUUUAUUGCCAGGAAGCACAGUGAUACAGGCUUUAAUUCUCCAGGUCUGUUGCCAGUGUGCUGACAAAGAUUGGAAUUGAAAGCCAUAUAAUUUACAAAUUAACAUAGCUUUUCUGAUGAACUUUGGAUCAAAAGAGAUGAUGUCAGUUCCCAGCUGCAUGCUACAUUAGCAUUUUCAGAAGAAAAUAGUUAUUUUCUAUUCCUCUCUCUGACACUAGGAUAGAGCUAUCACAGUAUCAGAAGCACAGAGACAUCUGCAAAGUAUGUACUUUCAGGACUGCUUUUUGGAUAUGUCGGUCCUGGAAAAUACCUUGCAGAAUAGAACAUUAGUAGAUAUUAGCAGAGGGUCAAGCACAAGGUACAAGCAAAAUCAUACUACAGAGAGUUAUGUUCCCUCUGCUAUAGCAGAGAAUACAAGAAAGUUGUAGUAUUGCUUCCACUUACGCAAACUUCAUUACACAUAUACUGUUCUUUUCAAGAAGGCAAACUGCCUGUGGAAAAUCUCCCAAAACUUUUAUAUAAAUCCCUUACAGCCAUGCUUACUAACUAAGAAAGAAAGAGAGAAAGAAGGAGAGAAAGAGAGAAAGAAAGAAAGAAAGAUGGAAAGGAAGGAAGAAAGAAAGAAAGAAAGAAAGAAAGAAAGAAAGAAAGAAAGAAAGAAAGAAAGAAAGAUCAAUGAAAGCAAGAAAGAGAGAGGCUAUGAGCAAUUCUAUCUCUGUUGAACCUGAAAUGAAAGCCAAUAAUAACUGAGAAGAAUUCAAUAGCUUUCAAGAGCAUUUCUCUAUUUUCUUCAGCUAAAUUAAAAUGAACUCAUAUGCUCAACUGUGCUUAAGCAAAAAAUAGUUACCAUGGUUACAGUGGAUUUUUUCUAAAUGUUGCAGAGUAUAUGAAAUAAUCAGCCAAAAUGACUAUGCAUAAACUGAAGGCAGCUGGGCAAGCCUUUUAAAAAUAUCAAGUAAACAGAAAAAAAAAAGAAAGAAAAAGAAAAAAGAAAAACCUUAGUAAAGAUAAUUCCUCAAGAUUUAUGCCAUUGUCUUUAUUACAUUGUGAAGAGAAAGAUGGUAAAGGAGAAAAAGAAGGAAAGUAAAUACUUUAAAAAUCAUUCCUUUAACAUUUGUAAUGCUGGCUACAAAGAAGCUGACUGCCAGACAAU